AGCAGCGUGGCUCAGUGGAAAGAGCACGGGCUUGGGAGUCAGAGGUCAUGGGUUCAAAUCCCAGCUCUGCCU
rnacentral:tRNA from 1 species